rnacentral:rRNA from 1 species
AUUGAACGCUGGCGGCCGGCUUAACACAUGCAAGUCGAGCGCGCCGCGGACUGGUGAGUAAUGUCUGGGAAACUGCCUGAUGGCGGGGGAUACCUACUGGAAACGGUAUCUAAUACCGCAUACCAUCAGAUGUUCCCAGAUGGGGUUCGCUAGUGGGUGGGGUAAUGGCUCACCUAGGCGACGAUCCCUAGCUGGUCUGAGAGGAUGACCAGCCACACUGGAACUGAGACACGGGCCCGACUCCUACGGGAGGCAGCAGUGGGGAAUAUUGCACAAGGGGCGCAAGUCAGAUGCAGCCAUGCCGCGUGUGUGAAGAAGGCCUUCGGGUUGGAAAGCACUUUCAGCGAGGAGGCGUUACUCGCAGAAGAAGCACCGGCUAACUCCGUGCCAGCAGCCGCGGUAAUAC